rnacentral:ncRNA from 1 species
AAUCUGUAUUCCAACAUAGACAGACCUAUUGACUUUGUCGAAACCAGCCCCUCUUCCCCAACCAACCUGCCCUAGAACACUUUCCUCUAUCAACUUUCUAAACUUGGCCAAUAAUUUUCAGACCUUUGCUCCAUCUUGAGGACCUCAGUGAAGAGAGGGAAUUACCCCCCUGGAUCCCGGCUAAAGACUGCAAAAGGAAUGUUCACAAUAGAAUAGGAAAGAGAGAGAGAGAGUGUGUGUGUGAGGACAGCAUCAGUGUUCAAUUGUCAGAGGUGAAAUUCUUGGAUUUGUUGAAGACUCACUACUGCGAAAGCAUUUGCCAAGGAUCUUUUCAUUAAUCAGUGAACGAAAGUCAGGGGAUCGAAGACGAUCUGAUACCCGUCGUAGUCUUGACCAUAAACUAUGCUGACUAGGGGUCGGUGGAUGUUACUAUUAUGAUUCCAUCGGCACCUGACGAGAACGAUGGGGAAGU